CGAACCGCGGCUUGGGAGAGCUGUGCGGUUUACGGGAUCCACGGCGAGCUUGGGAGAGCGAACCGCGGGAACUUAGGGGAGAACCACCGAUGGAGAAUAUGCUUCUCGUCGGACUGUCGCGGCAGAUGACGCUUC
rfam:Tardiphaga sp. Vaf07 contig_4, whole genome shotgun sequence.